rnacentral:rRNA from 1 species
CCCGGUUCCGACGGACCGGGCGGGAGUCAUAAAACGGCUUGCCAGGGGAACAGGCUUGAAGGCCUGGCCGUAGAGGGUGCCAGCCCCGUACCUGGACGUGAGCCGUCUUCCGAUCGUGUUGUCCCAAGUAGCGCGGGCCUCGUGGAAUCCCGCGUGAAUCAGCCCAGACCGUUGGGUAAGUCUAAGCAUACCUGUCUGACCGAUAGCGUACCAGUACCGUGAGGGAAAGGUGAAAAGCACCCCGGGAGGGGAGUGAAACAGUUCCUGAAACCGUGCGCCCACAAACCGUCGGAGCCUCUUUGUGGGGUGACGGCGUGCCUAUCGAAAAAUGAGUCUGCGAGUCAGUGGCGGGUGGCGAGCAUAAGCCGUGUGGCGUAUGCGUAGCGAAAGCGAGUCUUAAAAGGCGUUUUUAGUCGCUUGUCCUGGACCCGAAGCGGGAUGAUCUAGCCCUGGGCAGGUUGAAGCGCGGGUAAGACCGCGUGGAGGACCGAACCCACCUGGGUUGAAAACCGGGGGGAUGACCUGGGGCUAGGGGUGAAAGGCCAAUCAAAUUCCGUGAUAGCUGGUUCUCUCCGAAAUGCAUUUAGGUGCAGCGUCGGUCGAUUGCGUCGCGGGGGUAGAGCUACCGGAUGCUUGCGGGCCCUUGUUGGGUACCAACAGCAGCCGAACUCCGAAUACCGUUGACGUGUAUUCCGGCAGUGAGUCGGCGGGGGAUAAGCUCCGUCGUCGAGAGGGAGACAGCCCAGACCGUCGUCUAAGGUCCCGAAGCGUGUGCUAAGUGGGAAAGGAUGUGGAGUCGCAUAGACAGCCAGGAGGUUGGCUCAGAAGCAGCCAUCCUUGAAAGAGUGCGUAACAGCUCACUGGUCUAGUGGUUCCGCGCCGACAAUGUAGCGGGGCUCAAGCACACCACCGAAGACGCGGCAGCAAUCUUCAUGGUUGCUGGGUAGGAGAGCGUCCUGCGAGGGGCGAAGCGGCGGUGGAAACCGGCCGUGGACUUCGUGGGAGUGAGAAUGCAGACAUGAGUAGCGAGAGACGGGUGAGGAUCCCGUCCGCUGGAUGACCAAGGGUUCCGGGGCCACGUUCGUCGUCCCCGGGUGAGUCGGGUCCUAAGGCGAGGCCGACAGGCGUAGUCGAAUGGAUGAACGGGUGGAUAUUCCCGUACCGACCAUGGACCGGCAAAACCGAGACGGUGAGUACUAACCUCCGCCUCGUGGUGGUUCCUUCCUUCGGGUUGGUCCCGCCGCGUGGUGUUGGGAGCGUAGCCGCAGUAGGUCAGCGCAGGGGUGACACGGAAUGGGAGCCGGCCGCGGAGGUGGUUUUCCGUGGUCAAGCACGCAGCCAGUCAUGUAGGCAAAUCCGCAUGGCGCGCAUGGCGAGGUGUGAUGAUGGGAGCCGUUAUGGUUCGAUAUCCGGUUGUCCAGGCCGUCGAGAAAAGCCUCGGCGUGAGGGCCAUGGCCGCCCGUACCCCAAACCGACACUGGUGGUCAGGUAGAGAAUACCAAGGCGAUCGAGCGAAUCCUGGUCAAGGAACUCGGCAAAUCACUCCCGUGCCUUCGGUAUAAGGGAGACCCGCUGGGGUGAACCGGCUAGCCCGGGGAGCUUUGGUGGGUGGCACAGACCAGGGGGUAGCGACUGUUUACCAAAAACACAGGUGCAUGCGAAGGCGAAAGCCGCUGUAUAUGCACUGACGCCUGCCCGGUGCCGGAAGGUUAAGAGGAUCCGUCAAUCCUUCGGGAUGAAGCGGUGAAUUCAAGCCCCGGUAAACGGCGGUGGUAACUAUAACCAUCCUAAGGUAGCGAAAUUCCUUGUCGGGUAAGUUCCGACCUGCACGAAUGGCGUAACGACUUCCCCACUGUCUCGACCAGGAGCUCGGCGAAAUUGCAGUACGAGUAAAGAUGCUCGUUAAGCGCAGAAGGACGAAAAGACCCCGGGACCUUUACUAUACCUUGGUAUUGGCGUUAGGCGCGGAUUGUGUAGCAUAGGCGGGAGGCUUCGAAGCGUGGGCGCCAGCUCAUGUGGAGCCGCAAGGUGAAAUACCGCUCUGUUCUCGUUUGACGUCUAACCUCGACAAGUCAUCCUUGUCAGGGACAGUGCCUGGCGGGUAGUUCAACUGGGGCGGUUGCCUCCCAAAGAGUAACGGAGGCGCUCAAAGGUCCGCUCAGCCCGGUUGGCAAUCGGGUGUCGAGUGUAAUCGCACAAGCGGGCUUGACUGCGAGGACGACGGUCCGAGCAGGGACGAAAGUCGGAGAUAGUGAUCCGGUGCCGGCGCACGGGCGCGGCAUCGCUCAACGGAUAAAAGGUACCCCGGGGAUAACAGGCUGAUCAUUCCCAAGAGUCCAUAUCGACGGGAUGGUUUGGCACCUCGAUGUCGGCUCGUCGCAUCCUGGGGCUGGA